rnacentral:lncRNA from 1 species
AAGCCAGUGUGCGAGAUCUGAUAGCAAUAUAUGAAGAAUCACACUCUCUAUUUUUUGAAACCAUCUGCGUGCACUUCAAUUGCAGGAUAUAUGAUCGCCUAUGAAAUCAAUUAGAGUUAAUUGGAAAUGAGCAAGUUGUGCUGAUGUAGGAGUCACUGCAUACUCUAUAUGUAGAUACAUUCAUACGUAAAGAAAAAGAGAUAAAAGUAUAUGGUUGGCUAUAAUAUGGAAAGUUUAAAAAGUUAAAAUCCACAAAGCAUAAAGUAUAAAUAUGGAAUCUGGAAGCACUGAAAAAGCAUUGUAUUGAAUCUGGAUACUAUGUAGAGAGAAAAAUAGUAAAUG